GUUUUCUUGUUUCUCUCCUCAGUACAUUUGUCAGUUGAGCACCUCCACAUGCUCCACCCAAACCUGCAGAAAUGAUCUGUGUCACAGCUGCGUGGAAAAUCUCAUCAUGUCUGCAGCUUCAAGUCUUCCACCUCUUCUCCUCAGAACCACCUGCAGAACUUUUCACCUCCACAGAAGAACUUACCUGAUUGGUCGACCUUUCCAGAUCAGCAGUGACCAGACUUCCAGCGUCUCUUCCAUCACAGCUGAUUUCAAAGCAGACGUUGGAUGAAUUUGGAAGAAAACCUAAAUUAGAUCAGAAAAGAUGUUUUGCUGUCUGUCCCUAACGUCUUCAUGUGGACAGAGAUGAAAGACAAGCUUUCAUGUUUCUGGACACUGCCACCUGAGAUUACCUGCAAAUCUAAUAGAAACAAUGCAAUUUGAUGUUUUUGUCAGAUAUAGACCUAUUUUUAUUACUUAAAACUGUUUUUUGUAACAAUAUGUGAUUGUAAGUUUUGUUUAGGGCUGUUUUUUCUAUUUUUAUACCCGAGUUCAUCUAUAAGCCACCUAUUUUUCACACUCCCACUAUAGUUUCCUUUGGGCUUUCCUUUCAGUGACUUGUAAUGUUUUCUGAACGAUCUGUGCUGAGUUUCCGGAGCAGAACACUGAAAACAAAAGAGCAGCAGCAGGAACUUGUUGGUGUUUAACGGUGCCCAGAUGUGGGGAACAGGGAGCGGUAUGGUAAUGACAUGCUGAUAAGAAAACGUGUGCAUGUGUCCCCCAGGUAAAAAAAAAAAAAAAAAACAGGGGAACAUGGAAUCAAAUCUGAGCCAACAUCCUGAGAUUGUUCCUGUUGAUAAACUGA